AACGAACGCUGGCGGCAUGCCUAACACAUGCAAGUCGAACGAGACCUUCGGGUCUAGUGGCGCACGGGUGCGUAACGCGUGGGAACCUGCCCUUAGGUUCGGAAUAACUCCCCGAAAGGGGUGCUAAUACCGGAUAAUGUCUUCGGACCAAAGAUUUAUCGCCUUUGGAUGGGCCCGCGUUGGAUUAGCUUGUUGGUAGGGUAAAAGCCUACCAAGGGGACGAUCCAUAGCUGGUCUGAGAGGAUGAUCAGCCACACUGGGACUGAGACACAGCCCAGACUCCUACGGGAGGCAGCAGUGGGGAAUAUUGGACAAUGGGCGAAAGCCUGAUCCAGCAAGGCCGCGUGAGUGAUGAAGGCCUUAGGGUUGUAAAGCUCUUUUACCCGGGAUGAUAAUGACAGUACCGGGAGAAUAAGCUCCGGCUAACUCCGUG
rnacentral:rRNA from 1 species